rnacentral:rRNA from 1 species
CGCCUUCGCUACCGCUUAUAAUGCAGUCGAACGACUUCCGUUAAUUGAUUAUGACGUACUUGUACUGAUUGAGAUUUUAACACGAAGUGAGUGGCGAACGGGUGAGUAACACGUGGGUAACCUGCCCAGAAGUAGGGGAUAACACCUGGAAACAGAUGCUAAUACCGUAUAACAGAGAAAACCGCAUGGUUUUCUUUUAAAAGAUGGCUCUGCUAUCACUUCUGGAUGGACCCGCGGCGUAUUAGCUAGUUGGUGAGGUAAAGGCUCACCAAGGCAGUGAUACGUAGCCGACCUGAGAGGGUAAUCGGCCACAUUGGGACUGAGACACGGCCCAGACUCCUACGGGAGGCAGCAGUAGGGAAUCUUCCACAAUGGACGCAAGUCUGAUGGAGCAACGCCGCGUGAGUGAAGAAGGGUUUCGGCUCGUAAAGCUCUGUUGUUAAAGAAGAACGUGGGUAAGAGUAACUGUUUACCCAGUGACGGUAUUUAACCAGAAAGCCACGGCUAACUACGUGCCAGCAGCCGCGGUAAUACGUAGGUGGCAAGCGUUAUCCGGAUUUAUUGGGCGUAAAGCGAGCGCAGGCGGUCUUUUAAGUCUAAUGUGAAAGCCUUCGGCUCAACCGAAGAAGUGCAUUGGAAACUGGGAGACUUGAGUGCAGAAGAGGACAGUGGAACUCCAUGUGUAGCGGUGAAAUGCGUAGAUAUAUGGAAGAACACCAGUGGCGAAGGCGGCUGUCUGGUCUGCAACUGACGCUGAGGCUCGAAAGCAUGGGUAGCGAACAGGAUUAGAUACCCUGGAGUCCAUGCCGUAACGAUGAUUACUAAAGUGUUUGCAGGGUUUCCGCCCUUCAGUGCUGCAGCUAACGCAUUAAGUAAUCCGCCUGGGGAGUACGACCGCAAGGUUGAGACUCCAAAGAAUUGACGGGGGCCCGCCACAAGCCGUUGAGCAUGUGUUUAUUUCGAAGCUUACGCGAAAU